rnacentral:rRNA from 1 species
AACAAACGCUGGCGGCGUGCCUAAUACAUGCAAGUCGAACGGGGAAAGCUUUCGGGUGAGUACUAGUGGCGCACGGGUGAGGAACGCGUGGAUAAUCUGCCUUAGAGUGGGGGAUAACUAGUCGAAAGAUUAGCUAAUACCGCAUAAGACCACGAGAGCUGCGGCUUUUGAGGUCAAAGGUUUUUCGCUCUAAGAUGAGUCCGCGUAAGAUUAGCUAGUUGGUGAGGUAACGGCUCACCAAGGCGACGAUCUAUAACUGGUCUGAGAGGAUGAUCAGUCACACUGGCACUGAGACGCGGUCCAGACUCCUACGGGAGGCAGCAGUAGGGAAUAUUGCACCAUGGCGGAAACUCUGAUGCAGCGACGCCGCGUGAGUGAUGAAGGCCUUCGGGUCGUAAAGCUCUGUCGCAGGGGAAUAACACAAUGAAGGUACCCUGUAAGAAAGGAUCGGCUAACUUCGUG